GAUGAACGCUGGCGGCAUGCUUUACACAUGCAAGUCGAACGGUAACAUGGAGAGCUUGCUCUCUGAUGACGAGUGGCAAACGGGUGAGUAACGCGUAGGAACUUUCUUUAAGUGGGAGAUAGCUAAUCGAAAGGUUAGGUAAUACCCCAUGUGGAGGCAACUCUAAAGACUUCGGUCGCUUAAAGUGAGGCCUGCGUCCCAUCAGCUAGUUGGUAAGGUAAAGGCUUACCAAGGCUAAGACGGGUAGCUGGUCUGAGAGGACGAUCAGCCACACUGGAACUGCGACACGGUCCAGACGUCUACGGACGGCAGCAGUGAGGAAUAUUGCGCAAUGGGGGAAACCCUGACGCAGCAAUGCCGCGUGGAGGAUGAAGGCCCUAUGGGUCGUAAACUCCUGUGGAGAUCUACUAAUUUUGAAGAGAUCUCUAGAAAGAGGUUGCUAACUCUG
rnacentral:rRNA from 1 species